rnacentral:rRNA from 1 species
GGUGAACGCUGGCGGCGUGCUUAAGACAUGCAAGUCGAACGCAGUCUUCGGACUGAGUGGCGCACGGGUGAGUAACACGUAACUGACCUACCCCCAAGUCGCGAAUAACCAGCCGAAAGGAUGGCUAAUACGUGAUGUGCUGAUCCGCUGUGGCGAAUCAUUAAAGACUUGAUCGCUUGGGGAUGGGGUUGCGUUCAAUCAGCUAGUUGGUAAGGUAAAGGCUUACCAAGGCAACGACGGAUAGCCGGGCUGAGCGGGUGGCCGGCCACAGGGGCGAUGAGCCACGGGUCCCACUCCUACGGGAGGCAGCAGUUAGGAAUCUACCAAAAUGGGCGAAAGCCUGAUGGAGCGACGCCGCGUGAGGGAUGAAGGUUCUCGGAUCGUAAACCUCUGAACCAACGACGAAAGACCCGACAAGGGAGAUGGCGGUAGUUGGGUAAUAGCACCGGCUAACUCCGUGCCAGCCGCCGCGGUAAAAC